CCUACGGGAGGCUGCAGUGAGGAAUAUUGGACAAUGGCCGUAAGGCUGAACCAGCAAAGUAGCGUGAGGGAAGAAUGCCCUAUGGGUUGUAAACCUCUUUUAUGCGGGGAUAAAGGUGUCCACGUGUGGAUGUUUGCAGGUACCGCAUGAAUAAGGACCGGCUAAUUCCGUGCCAGCAGCCGCGGUAAUACGGAAGGUCCGGGCGUUAUCCGGAUUUAUUGGGUUUAACGGGAGCGUAGGCCGGUCUUUAAGCGUGCCGUGAAAUUUUGUGGCUCAACCAUGAGAGUGCAGCGCGAACUGGAGGCCUUGAGUGCGCGGGAGGCAGGCGGAAUUCGUGGUGUAGCGGUGAAAUGCUUAGAUAUCACGAAGAACCCCGAUUGCGAAGGCAGCCUGCCGCAGCGUUACUGACGCUGAGGCUCGAAAGCGCGGGUAGCGAACAGGAUUAGAUACCCCUGUAGUC
rnacentral:rRNA from 1 species